rnacentral:lncRNA from 1 species
AGUAUCUAGUCGUUCCAGUCUUUACCUGAUUGCCCAGCACUGCUGUGGCACAAGCCGUCGACACCUCCUUGGGUCCAAACCAUACCGAGGCGACGGGGGAGGGCAAGCCCAGGAUGAAGACCUGGGCCACGGAGCACAGGAUCUGCCCCAGCAUGGUGACCCAGAAGAGGUGCCGCUGCACGCUGCCGCACUUGACCCAGGCUCCCAGGCAGUUGAGGCCGGAGCCCAGCAGCGCCGUGAGCCGCAGGCCUCGCGUGUCCAGCAGCCAGGUGGCCGGGAAGAUGAGGGGCACGUAGGCCACCAUGUACACCAUGGACAGCCAGUUGAUGUGCAGCGGCGACACAUCGUAGAAGUCCUCGAACACGUUGCUGAUGCUGCUGUACUGGAUCCACUGGAAGGCGUUCACCAGCGAGUAAAGGCUGAAGAUGAGCAGCACCACGAAGCGCCUCGGCGAUAGCGCAGUGCGCGGGGGACACGCGGGGCAUGGGACGUCCUCCCCGUCGCCCGCGGGCAAGAGCCGGGCCUGGGUCUCCUCCUCCGCCGCUAUCAGGGCUUGCGGCCCGCCCUGGGCUCCCGCAACAAGCGGGCCGAGCCCGGGGCCUCCGUUCAGCGCCUCAGGCCCGUUUUGCGGUACCAAGCGCGCCUCCCCGUCCGGGGCGCCCUUGGGCACCGGAAGGUAUCCCUUCCCCAGCGGGUGCCCGGGCGCCACGGCCGGCCCCACCUCGUCAUCGGGCCGCGCCAUGCCUCCCGGCUCCCCGCCCCGCCGCCCCUUAGUCCUCCUCGCCGGCUCCUAGGUCCCACCCGGUUCAGCGCGCUCGCCUGCGCCGCUUGCCGACUAAGUGAAGCUGAGCUCACCGCGCCUGGCUCUUGCCGGCAGUCCCCGCCCCCAGGGCAUCUCGUAUCGUGUAGUGCGACCCUCCAUCCAAUCAUUGAGCGUUUCGGCAGUCCAGAAAGCCAAUCGGGGAGUUGCCGAGAAGAGGGGCGGGGUCAAGCGUGUGAGGCCGUAAGAGGAGCCCAAGGCAGGCUUUCUCAGCGCUGUGGUUUGCUGGAGCUGCCAGGCCUUUCACUGCGCUCGCUCCGCAGCGUUUAGCCUCGGGUUAUCUUCGAAGGAGAGCGCCAGAAAGCGUUUCCGCCCGCCCAGAGAAAAGAGGCUUCCUCAGAAGCAGGCCUUUGCGUUGAUGGAGCUGGGCGGCUCCAUCCGCGCAGAGGACUGAAGGAGGCCUAAGCCUGCUUGGAUUGUCACACAAUUGUUCACACCAAGUACUUUCAAUCUGAAUUUACAAUGGCAGAGCCCAUACCUAAAGGGUGUUUUCAGGGUACUCCUGAAGAGAAGCACCUACGGACUUAUGUAACAAGCUCCUUGCAUAGCAAGGGAUACCUUUCUUUCACCAGAGGCAGUCAACAGUUGGAUAGGCCACUGCUUUCCUUACUUGGACAGCUACAUGGUCGCUGCCAUCAUCCCCGACAAGAUUAACAAACUCGUCUGACAGGGAUCUUGUGGAUAUGAUUCCUGAAUUCCACGGAAUUCUUAGAAAGCUGAGCCGUGCGGUGUUUGAGAUUUCUCCUGAUGUUGUUGCCCUAUGAAAAGUAAGAUAGAUCCAUCUAAGGGAAGAAUUAGAUACAAUUCAUACACCUGUUUCACAAAGCUCC